ACGGAAGGCAGCAGUGGGGAAUAUUGGGCAAUGGGCGAAAGCCUGACCCAGCAACGCCGCGUGAAGGAAGAAGGUCUUCGGAUUGUAAACUUCUUUUAUGAGGGACGAAGGACGUGACGGUACCUCAUGAAUAAGCCACGGCUAACUACGUGCCAGCAGCCGCGGUAAUACGUAGGUGGCAAGCGUUAUCCGGAUUUACUGGGUGUAAAGGGCGCGUAGGCGGGAAGGCAAGUCAGAUGUGAAAUCUAUGGGCUUAACCCAUAAACUGCAUUUGAAACUGUCUUUCUUGAGUGCUGGAGAGGUAGACGGAAUUCCUUGUGUAGCGGUGAAAUGCGUAGAUAUAAGGAAGAACACCAGUGGUGAAGGCGGUCUACUGGACAGUAACUGACGCUGAGGCGCGAAAGCGUGGGGAGCAAACAGGAUUAGAUACCCGGUA
rnacentral:rRNA from 1 species